rnacentral:rRNA from 1 species
AUUGAACGCUGGCGGAAUGCUUUACACAUGCAAGUCGAACGGCAGCACGGACUUCGGUCUGGUGGCGAGUGGCGAACGGGUGAGUAAUACAUCGGAACGUGCCCAAUCGUGGGGGAUAACGUAGCGAAAGCUACGCUAAUACAGCAUACGAUCUAAGGAUGAAAGCGGGGGAUCGCAAGACCUCGCGCGAAUGGAGCGGCCGAUGGCAGAUUAGGUAGUUGGUGGGGUAAAGGCUCACCAAGCCGACGAUCUGUAGCUGGUCUGAGAGGACGACCAGCCACACUGGGACUGAGACACGGCCCAGACUCCUACGGGAGGCAGCAGUGGGGAAUUUUGGACAAUGGACGCAAGUCUGAUCCAGCCAUUCCGCGUGCAGGAUGAAGGCCCUCGGGUUGUAAACUGCUUUUGUACAGAACGAAAAGGCUCUGGUUAAUACCUGGGGUUCAUGACGGUACUGUAAGAAUAAGCACCGGCUAACUACGUGCCAGCAGCCGCCGUAACAC